GCUCUUUUCGUCUAGUGGCCUAGGACGUUGUCUUUUCACGACAAAAACGCGGGUUCAACUCCCGCAAAGAGCA
rnacentral:tRNA from 1 species